UCGACGUCCUUAUCCACUCGCAUCUCUUGAUCGGUCGCUCUACCUCAUCCACUCGCUCCUCUCACUCCUCACUCCAUCCACUCGCAUCCCCCUCCCCUCUCGCCCUCUCCCGCCUCCUCCUCCUUCUCCUGGCAGCGAUGCGCUGACAGCGGCAGCGAUCGCAAGGAGGCAGCGGCAGUGGCCCCUUCUCCAGCGGCGGCUACCCCCUUCUCCUUGCAGCGGUACCUUCUCCCGGUAGCGGUGGCGGCUGCAAGGAGACAGCGGCGGCGGCCGCAAGGAGGCAGUGGUGGAGGUCCCCUUCUCAUUGCAGCGGCGGUGGCCCCUUCUUCUGGUAGAUAUCAUGCCAACGUCAGCGAGAUGUCAGCAUGAAACCUAGGCACAGAUGCCAUGCUUCUUCCAUGUUCUCAUGUUGAAAAUUCAUGCCAAUUAUUUCUAUCACACUCAAUGACGAUUGCGGCGGCGAAGCCUGCAAUUAACACUACAUAUUGCCUUGUGCAGGUGAUAUCAUCACCAAUUCACCAUUAGCUAUCUUACUUGCCUCCUAUAAAUACCCUCAGCCGGAAGGGUUAUUCGUAUGCAUCAAAAACACACAACGCUAACUCAUCACGAGUUUGAUACACAUAGUAAUCCUACGUAAUCAAGCUUAGAUUGUGUUAAUCAACUCAAUACUGCAAAAAAUCGUUUUUGCAGGCGGUCAAAUUAGGGUAAAUUAAGUGACUGUAAGCUUUGUUAAACGCCAUGGAUUUGAUGAAGAGUAAUCCGCUUCAGGGGAGCCCAUGGAGCUUGUUGAACUUGCUGGUAUUGAUCAUUGUCGCCGCCAUGAUCUGCGGCGAGCUAUGUCGUCGUCGUCGUCGUCGUCGUGGCGACGAGAAUGGUGGCGCCACGAGGCUGCCUCCGGGGCCAUGGCGGCUGCCGUUCGUCGGCAGCCUGCACCACCUCGCGGUGAUGAGGCCGCGCGGGGUGGUGGUGCACCGCGCGCUGGCCGAGCUGGCGCGGCGGCACGACGCCCCCGUCAUGUACCUCCGCCUCGGCGAGCUCCCCGUCGUGGUGGCGUCGUCGCCGGAGGCCGCGCGCGAGGUCCUCAAGACGCACGACGCGGCGUUCGCCACCCGCGCCAUGAGCGUCACGGUGAGGGAGUCCAUCGGCGACAAGGUCGGCAUCCUCUUCUCCCCCUACGGCAAGAAGUGGCGCCAGCUCCGCGGCAUCUGCACCCUCGAGCUGCUCAGCGUGAAGCGGGUGCGCUCGUUCCGCCCCAUCCGGGAGGAGCAGGUCGCCCGCCUCGUCGACGCCAUCGCCGCCGCCGCGGCGUCGUCCACGGCGGAGGCGGCGGCGGUGAACAUCAGCAGGCAGAUCACCGGGCCGAUGACGGACCUGGCGCUGCGCGCAAUCAUGGGGGAGUGCUUCCGGUGGCGGGAGGAGUUCCUGGAGACGCUGGCGGAGGCGCUCAAGAAGACGACCGGGCUCGGCGUCGCCGACAUGUUCCCGUCGUCGCGGCUCCUCCGCGCCGUCGGGAGCACGGUGCGCGACGUGAAGCUGCUGAACGCCAAGCUGUUCGAGCUGGUGGAGUGCGCCAUCGAGCAGCAUCGGGAGCAGAUUAGAGCGGCUCACGACAACGGCGGCGACGACGACGACGCGCAUGGCCAUGGCGACAAGGAGUGCUUCCUGAAUACUCUGAUGAGAAUUCAGAAGGAAGGUGAUGAUCUUGAUGACACUCACCAUGGCAACCGUCAAAGCUGUCAUUCUUGACAUGUUUGCAGGUGGAAGUGAAUCAACAUCAACAACACUUGAAUGGGCCCUGUCAGAGCUUGUGAGGAACCCUCAUGUGAUGCAAAAGGCACAAGCAGAGAUACGACAUGCUUUGCAAGGCAGGACUAGGGUAACUGAAGAUGAUUUAAUUAAUUUAAAGUACCCAAAGAACAUAAUCAAGGAAACACUACGGUUACACCCUGUAGCACCUCUACUUGUCCCAAAAGAGUGUCAGGAGUCGUGUAAAAUCCUCGGCUAUGAUGUUCCUAAGGGAACAAUCAUGUUCGUAAAUGCAUGGGCUAUCGGCAGAGACCCUAGAUAUUGGAACGAUGCAGAAGUGUUUAUGCCAGAGCGUUUUGAGAAAGUUGCAGUUGAUUUCAGAGGCACAAACUUUGAGUUCAAACCAUUUGGAGCAGGACGGAGGAUGUGCCCAGGAAUAACAUUUGCAAAUGCAACAAUCGAAAUGGCCCUCACUGCUCUUCUAUACCACUUCGAUUGGCAUCUCCCUCCAGGUGUAACACCGGAUGGGUUGGACAUGGAGGAGGAAUUCGGCAUGAGCGUUUCAAGGAAAAGGGAUCUUUAUCUACGACCGACACUCCAUAUGGGACUUGAAACAAUAUGAUGAAUACACGCGUGUUGUCAUGGAAAAUGUUGAUAAUAGCCGAAUGGUGUAUGUACCUAGUAGAAAAAAAAUACUUUCUGCAAAUUAUAGUACCUAUACUUACAAGAUGUUUGGGAGGUAGGAACUCCUGAGAUAUUCAGAUAUUCCAGAGCUCCGAGUGCAUUAGUAUAGAAAUUCAUGCACGAACACAAUAUAUAUAAGGCGUUGCUGUCAUGUACAAGAGCUGUGUUUUUUAAAGAUAAAAGUACUGUACGUUUCCAGUUGUAAUGUAA